UAGUGCAGCAGUGACACUCCCCUGUGGACUGCAGCCAUGGCCAUCCUGCCCAGCACACACUGCUGUUCUCAUCUUCAAGGCUGAGUCGUCACCAGUUGGCUGUGGCAGGUGCAGGGACCUUUUCCAGCCUCUUCCUUCCUAGUUUUCAGUGUAAGGACUGGCUUCCUGAAGAUUUCUGGAUGACCUGCAAAAUUGUUGUAAGGGAUUAUUUGAAUUGAUAAAUUAAAACAACUACUUCCAAGUGGAUUCUAAAUCAUGAGAGCUGACAUUGCUACAACUCUGUCAAUUUGGACACCAGGGACAGAUCUAUAUAUCCUAAUCUCCACACAUCUCAACCCAGUGUUCCCUGUAUCCUACUGACCAGACAAGAAAGGCAAACAACCAUUUCUGUGCAGAGAGACAGAAUAGACUUGGUGAAUGUGUCAGACUGUGAGCAGGAUACUCCAGUGGAGGAUUAUACUCUUCUCCUGCCUUCACCUGUGAGAUGCUCUCCUCAAGGUGUCUUCUCUCAUCUUAAAUGGUGACUGGCUCUUUUCCAAACCAAAGCACAGAAGACUGAAUUUUCUACUAUUUUCAGCACUUUCUUUAUGCACAACAGAUGCUCUUAUGCAUUACCUCAAGGAAUAGUAUGAGCUCUGUUACACUGUGAAGAUGAAGAAAUUUUGGCAGCUCCACAAGUUAAAUCACACACUCUGUCUACCAUAAAUGUCCCACAUGUAGAAUUCUGAUAUUAAAAAUAUUAACAAAAAUUUCAGAUGUUCUGUAUUACCCCUCCAGCAAUGACAGAAUAAGUACUGGAUUAAGGUGUGUUAGCUCAGAAAGUAGUUAAAAUUCUCUACUCCUUGAAUUCCCUGCCAUCCAGAAGGAACACAGAACAGCUGAUGGAUGACCUUUCACUUACCUCACUGGCAGGCAAGUGCUCCAGACCCAACACAACACAACAGCCUGACCACACAUACACAAAGAUGAGCUUUAUGUCAGAAACUUCUGCAAACACUAACAGGCAAGUGAAAAGAGGUUUUUAGCCACUGAAGAAUGUCUAGGAAUCUGGGAGAC